UACAGAGGUCCCGAGCGUUGUUCGGAUUCAUUGGGCGUAAAGGGUGUGUAGGUGGCGCCGUAAGUCGGGUGUGAAAUUUCGGAGCUUAACUCCGAAACUGCAUUCGAUACUGCGGUGCUUGAGGACUGGAGAGGAGACUGGAAUUCAUGGUGUAGCAGUGAAAUGCGUAGAGAUCAUGAGGAAGACCAGUGGCGAAGGCGGGUCUCUGGACAGUUCCUGACACUGAGACACGAAGGCCAGGGGAGCAAACGGG
rnacentral:rRNA from 1 species